rnacentral:rRNA from 1 species
GGGGGAUAUUGCGCAAUGGGCGAAAGCCUGACGGAGCAACGCCGCGUGAGUGAGGACGGCCUUCGGGUUGUAAAACUCUGUUCUUGAGGAAGAAUUCCUUCCAGGCGAACAGCCUGGAAGGUUGACGGUACUCAAGGAGAAAGCCCCGGCUAACUACGUGCCAGCAGCCGCGGUAAUACGUAGGGGGCGAGCGUUAUCCGGAAUUAUUGGGCGUAAAGCGCGCGCAGGCGGCUGAUUAAGUCAGGUGUGAAAGGCUGCGGCUCAACCGCAGAGCGGCACCUGAAACUGGUCGGCUUGAGUGCAGGAGAGGGGAGCGGAAUUCCCGGUGUAGCGGUGGAAUGCGUAGAGAUCGGGAGGAACACCAGUGGCGAAGGCGGCUCUCUGGCCUGUAACUGACGCUGAGGCGCGAAAGCGUGGGGAGCAAAC